AUGGUUACUGAGACCAGUGUCAAAAGGCCACAGCUGGAAGUAGCAGAUAAGGCCUCUGCCCAGGACAUUUUCACCGACCAGUUCCACCUGCGGUCAGUUUGCCUUGAAUUCAACUUGUGCUCAGCACACUGCACACAGGAUAGUUACAAAGUCACUGACAAGCAAGGCCUGCACGCCUCGCAGCAACUUGUUUAUGUGGUGGGUGCGCUUCUCCGACAAGCGCUGUCGCUGGAACUCGAGCAGCCCCACCGCGGCGGCGCAGAGCGCGGCACGGACCCCGGACCCCAGCUGGGAGGGGCGGGCUGCGGGCCGGCGGCGCGGCACCCCCUAGCGGGGCGGCGGCCGCGCAUUGUCUCCUGGCGGGGUGGGGCUUCUCGUUGCCAUCUCUCGGCCGGGCCGGAUCCCGCGCAGCUGCCGCGGCGGCUCCGACGAAGGGAGAGGGGCAGGCGCUGGCGUGCCCCGCAGGCGGGCGCUGAGGCGCGGGCGGAGGCGGGUCGGCGGCCCGUGGCCGCCGUCUCCUUGCCGACGGAGGAGGGGUCCGAGCCCUCGCCGGGGCAGCGAGGAGCUGCGAGGCGGCUGGGGGCGGCCGCCGCAGCCUGGCCGGAGCGGGCGGCUCCCGGCUCCGCCCCGCGUCCGCCCUGCCCGCCCGGGCACCCGGAGCGCCGCAGCCCGGUGAGUACGCGCCCGCGGGGGCUCUCCCCGUGCCGCAGCCCCGGCCCCGAGAGCAGCGCAGGCCCCGCGGCCUGGCCGCGCUUUGUUCCCGCGGUGACUGCGGGUGCCUCGCUCCGCCGGGUGUUGGCCGGCCGGCCGGCGGCCCCGCCGGGGCACGAAGGGGCGGCGGUGUCCCGGCCUCGCGGGGCAGCCCCGGCGGGGCAGAGCUUGGUCACCCGGGGGAGCCGGCGCAACAGGUCUGGGCUUUGUCCGUGCCGCCGCUACGGACGUGGCCGCGGCGGGGGGGCCGCCGGGUGGCCGGGGCCUGCCCUUGUGCGGGAGCGCCCGGCCGCGCUGCCCGGCGUCUCGGGGCUGCCCGGAGCGGCUCAGCGGGAGCAGCCUCGGCACCAGCACCGCCUCGUGCCGGGCGCUCCGCGGCGCGUGGAAGCGCUGCUCGCUCGGGAGCUGAUUCACGGCUGCAGCGCGGGUUGCUCGCGGCCCCGGUUGCCAUUUCUUUGA
rnacentral:lncRNA from 1 species